UAUGAAUGCACGAACAUGUAACUAGCGAGGCAAAAAAAUAACACACGUAACGCGUCCAGCGCGAGAUCAACGAGUAGGUCACAAACCUGACCGGAGGACAACAUCUCUUUUUUUGAAUGUCGAGAGGAGAACUGCAAAAUUCAUUGAUCGGAAGAAGUUAUGAGCCCUCCAAAGGAGGAAAGCACAACAAAAAGGCUAGUGCAAAAAGAAAAGAAAGA
rnacentral:lncRNA from 1 species